rnacentral:rRNA from 1 species
GACGAACGCUGGCGGCGUGCUUAACACAUGCAAGUCGAACGAUGAAGCGGUGCUUGCACCGUGGAUUAGUGGCGAACGGGUGAGUAAUACGUGAGUGACCUACCUUUGACUCUGGGAUAAGCCUGGGAAACUGGGUCUAAUACCGGAUACGACCAAUCUCUGCAUGGGGUGUUGGUGGAAAGCGUUAUGGAGUGGUUUUAGAUGGGCUCACGGCCUAUCAGCUUGUUGGUGAGGUAAUGGCUUACCAAGGCGACGACGGGUAGCCGGCCUGAGAGGGUGACCGGCCACACUGGGACUGAGACACGGCCCAGACUCCUACGGGAGGCAGCAGUGGGGAAUAUUGCACAAUGGGCGCAAGCCUGAUGCAGCGACGCCGCGUGAGGGAUGACGGCCUUCGGGUUGUAAACCUCUGUUAGCAUCGAAGAAGCGAAAGUGACGGUAGGUGCAGAGAAGGCGCCGGCUAACUACGUGCCAGCAGCCGCGGUAAUACGUAGGGCGCGAGCGUUGUCCGGAAUUAUUGGGCGUAAAGAGCUUGUAGGCGGUUGGUCGCGUCUGCUGUGAAGGCCGGGGCUUAACUCCGGUUUUGCAGUGGGUACGGGCUAACUAGAGUGCAGUAGGGGAGACUGGAAUUCCUGGUGUAGCGGUGGAAUGCACAGAUAUCAGGAGGAACACCGAUGGCGAAGGCAGGUCUCUGGGCUGUAACUGACGCUGAGAAGCGAAAGCAUGGGGAGCGAACAGGAUUAGAUACCCUGGUAGUCCAUGCCGUAAACGUUGGGCACUAGGUGUGGGGGACAUUCCACGUUUUCCGCGCCGUAGCUAACGCAUUAAGUGCCCCGCCUGGGGAGUACGGCCGCAAGGCUAAAACUCAAAGGAAUUGACGGGGGCCCGCACAAGCGGCGGAGCAUGCGGAUUAAUUCGAUGCAACGCGAAGAACCUUACCAAGGCUUGACAUGCAUUAGAUCGCGUCAGAGAUGGCGUUUCCCUUCGGGGCUGGUGUACAGGUGGUGCAUGGUUGUCGUCAGCUCGUGUCGUGAGAUGUUGGGUUAAGUCCCGCAACGAGCGCAACCCUCGUUCUAUGUUGCCAGCGGUUCGGCCGGGGACUCAUAGGAGACUGCCGGGGUCAACUCGGAGGAAGGUGGGGAUGACGUCAAAUCAUCAUGCCCCUUAUGUCUUGGGCUUCACGCAUGCUACAAUGGCCGGUACAGAGGGUUGCGAUACUGUGAGGUGGAACUAAUCCCUUAAAGCCGGUCUCAGUUCGGAUUGGGGUCUGCAACUCGACCCCAUGAAGUCGGAGUCGCUAGUAAUCGCAGAUCAGCAACGCUGCGGUGAAUACGUUCCCGGGCCU